GGGAAUGUGGCUUAGUGGUAGAGUGCAUGCCUAGCAUGCAUGAAGCCCUGGACUUCAUUCCUC
rnacentral:tRNA from 1 species